rnacentral:rRNA from 1 species
GUCCACGCCUUAAACGAUGGAUACUAGUUGUCGGAAUUUCUAAUAGUUUCGGUAACGCAGCUAACGCAUUAAGUAUCCCGCCUGGGGAGUACGGUCGCAAGAUUAAAACUCAAAGGAAUUGACGGGGGCCCGCACAAGCGGUGGAGCAUGUGGUUCAAUUCGAUGCUACGCGAAAAACCUUACCUAGGCUUGACAUCCCGUGCUAUCCGGCGAAAGUCGGAGUUCUCUUCGGAGACGCGGAGACAGGUGCUGCAUGGCUGUCGU